AUUGAACGCUGGCGGCAGGCCUACCACAUGCAAGUCGAGCGAGCGGCGGACGGGUGAGUAAUGUAUGGGGACUGCCCCAUAGAGGGGGAUAACCACCGGAAACGGUAGCUAAUCCAGCACACUACCGCACAACCCAUAUGGGAUUAGCUAGGAGGUGAGGUAAUUGCUCACCUAGGCGACGGUCCCUAGCCGGUCUGAGAGGAUGAUCAGCAACACUGGGACUGGGACACGGCCCAGACUCCUACGGAGUGAGCAGUGGGGAAUAUUGCACAAUGGGCGCAAGCCUGAUGCAGCCAUGCCGCGUGGAUGAAGAAGGCCCUCGGGUUGUAAAGUACUGUCAGUCGGGAGGCGUUACCGACAGAAGAAGCACCGGCUAACUCCGUGCCAGCAGCCGCGGUAAUAC
rnacentral:rRNA from 1 species